CAUGCAAGUCUAGGGGGUGUAGCAAUACAUCACCGGCGGACGGGUGCGUAACACGUGGGAAUAUACCUUUUAGUUCGGAACAACGCAGGGAAACUUGCGCUAAUACCGAAUGUGCCCUUACGGGGAAAGAUUUAUCGCCAAAGGAUUAGCCCGCGUCCGAUUAGCUAGUUGGUGAGGUAACGGCUCACCAAGGCUCCGAUCGGUAGCUGUUCUGAGAGGAAGAUCAGCCACACUGGGACUGAGACACGGCCCAGACUCCUACGGGAGGCAGCAGUUGGGAAUCUUGGACAAUGGGGGAAACCCUGAUCCAGCCAUGCCGCGUGAGUGAUGAAGGCCUUCGGGUUGUAAAACUCUUUCGACGGGGACGAUAAUGACGGUACCCGUAGAAGAAGCUCCGGCUAACUUCGUGCCAGCAGCCGCGGUAAUACGAAGGGGGCUAGCGUUGUUCGGAAUUACUGGGCGUAAAGCGCGCGCAGGCGGUCUUUCAAGUCAGUGGUGAAAGCCCGGAGCUCAACUCCGGAAUUGCCAUUGAAACUGUAAGA
rnacentral:rRNA from 1 species